CGUCAUUUAGAGGAAGUAAAAGUCGUAACAAGGUUUCCGUAGGUGAACCUGCGGAAGGAUCAUUACCAAUACCAGCCUGCUGGCUGCCGCGGUGGUUGUUAAGUCAACCGCACGGUUUUCCGGUCAGGUGAACCAGUACCACCUGUGCUUCGCAUGGGUACCUGGGUCAACCCUUUGUGAACCAAAACAAACCUUUCGCUUCGGCAGCGGGGCCCUAAACCAGCCCGUCAGCCUGCUGCUAGCACCAAACACAAAAUAAACUUGUUGUAAAAACAUUGUCUGACAACCAAAUUUUCGAAUGAAAAUCAAAACUUUCAACAACGGAUCUCUUGGUUCCC
rnacentral:misc_RNA from 1 species